rnacentral:rRNA from 1 species
UACGAAGGGAGCUAGCGUUGUUCGGAAUCACUGGGCGUAAAGCGCACGUAGGCGGAUGUGUCAGUCAGGGGUGAAAUCCCGGAGCUCAACUUCGGAACUGCCUUUGAUACAGCACGUCUUGAGUCCGAUAGAGGUGAGUGGAAUUCCUAGUGUAGAGGUGAAAUUCGAUAGAUAUUAGGAAGAACACCAGUGGCGAAGGCGGCUCACUGGUCCGGUACUGACGCUGAGGUGCGAAAAGCGUGGGGAGCAAACAGG